UUCCUGGUGGUCCAGUGGUUAACAUUCUGCACUUUUAUUGCCAAGGGAGCAGGUUCAAUCCCUGUUCAGGAAA
rnacentral:tRNA from 1 species